rnacentral:sRNA from 1 species
UUCUAGCCCCGAUUGUAGCAAUUGUUUGAGCUCUUUUUUGAUUUUUUUCAAAAAAAGCGAGUGCGGAAAGCGGGAAAUAGC